GUACCUUUGCAUCAUGGUCUAACUAGUAUACCCAAGCAAAAUGAAAUUUAAGUUUGACCCCCCGAAACUAAGCGAGCUACUUCAAAAUAGCCUCAUGGGCCAACCCGUCUCUGUUACAAAAGAGUGGGAAAAUUUUCAAGUAGAGGUGACACGCCUAUCGAGCCUAGAGAUAGCUGGUUAUUCAGGAAAAGGAUCUAGUCCAAUUUUAAACCUUCUCAUAUUACUAAAUAUACUUCCAGCUUUAAAAUUUAUUCAAAUAAGGUACAGCCUAUUUGAAACAGGAUACAACCUAUUUAGUAGGGUAAUGGUUUGUUUACAUGACAAAGUCGGCCUAAAAGCAGCCACCUUUCAAAAAGCGUCUCAGCUUAAUCAUAUAACAUCAUUGAUUUUUACAAAAUCCAAAACCCUCCUCUCUUACUGAAUGACUCUAUAUCUAUAUAGAAAACCCUAUGUUAGAACUAGUAAUAAGAAUUAAUUCUCCUCAAAGCCAGUGUAAGCCAAAAUGAACCACUCAUCGGCACUUACCGCCACGAACAAACAGUAAUAACCCCACAAGAAAACCUUACUUUCCCAAGCGUCAACCUCACGCUAGCGCUUUACAGGAAGAUUUAAAAAGGAGGAAGGAACUCGGCAAAAAUUAACCCCGCCU
rnacentral:rRNA from 1 species